AUGUCUUCUUCUUCCUCCGCCGUCAACUCCAGCCUCAACUACAACACCUUCGAGCCUCUUACCCGAACCAAUUACAUCUUAUAGCACGCACAGGCAAGAUCGCAGAUCAUGGGUGCCGGCCUCUUCGGCUACCUAGAUCAAACCAUUGAAGAACCACCAAAAACCCUUACCACCAAAAACGCCGAAGGGAAGGAUCAGGUUGUUGUGAACCCUGCCUACUCCCAAUGACUCAUCCAAGACCAACAAAUCGUCGCUUACCUCCUCAGAAACCUAUCCAAAGAAGUUCUCGUCUAGGUUGCUUCGCUUGAGAAAUCACAUGCGAUCUGGACAUCGCUUGGGAACAUGUUCUCGGCCAUAUCUCUCUCACGCGCCAACAACAUACGAGCCACCCUCACCAAUGCCCAGAAGGGCUCCCAGACGGCGGCUGCAUACUUUGGUCACAUGCAUGCCCUCUCCGACGAGCUUGCAGCGGCGGGCAAGCUGAUCGGCGAGGAUGAACUGCUCUCCUUCAUCAUCGCCGGGUUAGACAUGGAAUACCAGCCCAUUAUCUCGGCGCUCGAUGCAAGGACAGAACCGGUCUCCGUAGACAUCCUUUUCUCCAUGGUAGCAAACUUCGAUUAG
rnacentral:rRNA from 1 species